rnacentral:tRNA from 1 species
GGGCAACGACUCAGCCGGUGAAGAGGCCGCUCUGAUAAGGCGGUAGUAGCCAGGUUCAACACCUGGGUUGCCCACCA